GGUUAAGCGAAUAAGCGUACACGGUGGAUGCCUAGGCAAUCAGAGGCGAUGAAGGACGUGCUAAUCUGCGAAAAGCGUCGGUAAGGUGAUAUGAACCGCUAUACCCGACGAUAUCCGAAUGGGGAAACCCAGUAUCCAAUGGAUACUAUCAUUAACUGAAUCCAUAGGUUAAUGAGGCGAACCGGGAGAACUGAAACAUCUCAGUACCCCGAGGAAAAGAAAUCAACCGAGAUUCCCCUAGUAGCGGCGAGCGAACGGGGAGCAGCCCAGAGUCUUAAUCAAUAGCAGUGUCAGGAGAACGGUCUGGAAAGUCCGGCAGUAAAGGGUGAUAGCCCCGUAUCUGAAGAUGCUGUUGUUGUGAACUCGA
rnacentral:rRNA from 1 species